UAGGGAAUUUUCGUCAAUGGGGGAACCCUGAACGAGCAAUGCCGCGUGUGUGAAGAAGGUCUUCGGAUCGUAAAGCACUGUUGUAAGUGAAGAAUGCCAUAUAGAGGAAAUGCUAUGUGGGUGACGGUAGCUUACCAGAAAGCCACGGCUAACUACGUGCCAGCAGCCGCGGUAAUACGUAGGUGGCAAGCGUUAUCCGGAAUCAUUGGGCGUAAAGGGUGCGUAGGUGGCACGAUAAGUCUGAAGUAAAAGGCAACAGCUCAACUGUUGUAUGCUUUGGAAACUGUCGAGCUAGAGUGCAGAAGAGGGCGAUGGAAUUCCAUGUGUAGCGGUAAAAAUGCGUAGAUAUAUGGAGGAACACCAGUGGCGAAGGCGGUCGCCUGGUCUGUAACUGACACUGAUGCACGAAAGCGUGGGGAGCAAAUAGGAUUAGAUACC
rnacentral:rRNA from 1 species